rnacentral:rRNA from 1 species
GAGUUUGAUCAUGGCUCAGAUUGAACGCUGGCGGCAGGCCUAACACAUGCAAGUCGAGCGGCAGCACGGGGAGCUUGCUCCCUGGUGGCGAGCGGCGGACGGGUGAGUAAUGCAUGGGAAUCUGCCCGGUAGUGGGGGAUAACCCGGGGAAACCCGGGCUAAUACCGCAUACGUCCUACGGGAGAAAGCAGGGGAUCUUCGGACCUUGCGCUAUCGGAUGAGCCCAUGUCGGAUUAGCUUGCUGGUGAGGUAACGGCUCACCAGGGCGACGAUCCGUAGCUGGUCUGAGAGGAUGAUCAGCCACACCGGGACUGAGACACGGCCCGGACUCCUACGGGAGGCAGCAGUGGGGAAUAUUGGACAAUGGGGGAAACCCUGAUCCAGCCAUGCCGCGUGUGUGAAGAAGGCUUUCGGGUUGUAAAGCACUUUCAGCGGGGAAGAAGGCAUGGCGGCUAAUACCCGCCAUGAAGGACAUCACCCGCAGAAGAAGCACCGGCUAACUCCGUGCCAGCAGCCGCGGUAAUACGGAGGGUGCAAGCGUUAAUCGGAAUUACUGGGCGUAAAGGGCGCGUAGGCGGCCUGCAAAGCCGGAUGUGAAAGCCCCGGGCUCAACCCGGGAACGGCAUUCGGAACUGGCAGGCUAGAGUGCAGGAGAGGAAGGUGGAAUUCCCGGUGUAGCGGUGAAAUGCGUAGAGAUCGGGAGGAAUACCAGUGGCGAAGGCGGCCUUCUGGACUGACACUGACGCUGAGGCGCGAAAGCGUGGGUAGCAAACAGGAUUAGAUACCCUGGUAGUCCACGCCGUAAACGAUGUCGACCAGCCGUUGGACCCCCUGAGG